GAUGAAGAACGUAGCGAAAUGCGAUACGUAAUGUGAAUUGCAGAAUUCAGUGAAUCAUCGAGUCUUUGAACGCACAUUGCGCCCCCUGGUAUUCCGGGGGGCAUGCCUGUCCGAGCGUCAUUGCUGCCCUCAAGCCCGGCUUGUGUGUUGGGUCUCGUCCCCCUUCCCGGGGGGACGGGCCCGAAAGGCAGCGGCGGCACCGCGUCCGGUCCUCGAGCGUGUGGGGCUUUGUCACCCGCUCUGUAGGCCCGGCCGGCGCUUGCCGAUCAACCAAAACUUUUUUCCAGGUUGACCUCGGAUCAGGUAGGGAUACCCGCUGAACUUAAGCAUAUCAAUAAGCGGAGGA
rnacentral:misc_RNA from 1 species